rnacentral:tRNA from 1 species
GUUGUCUCCCUGUAGCGCAAUGGAUAGUGCGUUGGACUUCUAAUCCGAAGGUCGUGGGUUCGAAUCCCACCUGCGAUG